UCGUGGGGUGACUUGUCUGCUUAAUUGCGAUAACGAACGAGACCUUAACCUGCUAAAUAGCCAGGCUAGCUUUGGCUGGUCGCCGGCUUCUUAGAGGGACUUUCGGCUCAAGCCGAAGGAAGUUUGAGGCAAUAACA
rnacentral:rRNA from 1 species